CCGCUCGCCGUCGCCGCCCCUAGACGCCCUGCCUGCGCGCUCCUCGCCGCCCCCACGAAGCCCUCGCCGGCACGCUCCGUGAGUCCCCCCCCCCCCCCCCGCCCCCGCGGCCACGCUCUCGUCGCGCCGGCGGCCCUCCCCGUCACCCUUGCCGCCUCCCACGACGCCCUCUCCUGUGCGCGUCUCGCUAUCCCCACGAAGCCCUCGCCGGCACGCUCCUGGCCUCCCUCCCCGCUCCCCCCAUGGCAGACCAUAAGCACGCACGAGGGGCGGCAUCAACUUCACUCACUGAUGAAAUAACCUCCGCUGCCCGUGGCUCCCUGACUCUCUGAUGACAAGAACAUGCACUUGUGGCACUCAUACAAGUCAACAGGCUGUACUCUAAUGGUGCACAAAAGGGAUGUACUCGAUUAGUCAUUUCGUCAGAUUUUAAUGAUCUAAUGAGAAACUGUUGGUUCACAAUCAACCCUUGGAAGAGUCAACAUCUAGAUCGACAAAUUUUACAGCAAGGUGACUGGAAUUUUUGCCUGAGAAGUAGGUGAGACGGCAGUAAGGCUCAGAUGGAGGUGACACUGCCUGUCGCGGCAUCUCCAAGAUGGAGAUGGAGCUAGGACCUGGACGUAGGCAGGGACGGCGCAACUUGUCGUGGUGUCGGCGGCGGAGGACAUGUAGCGGGUUAUGGGGUUUGGGUAGAGGUGGGUUAGAGGGAUGACGGCGGCAGCAGCGGUACCUCGGGCAGACCAGGGCAGCAAGGCUGCAACGUGGAUGGUCGUGUGUUUUGGCGUAUGCCUGGAGGAAGAAGGUUACAGGUCCGUUGGAUGCAUAUAUGUGACGGUGGAGGGAAAACCGACCCGACUGAAGAGAAACCUUUUUGAGCCUGAAAUAGUCGCUCUCAAUUGUAACCAUAGCAGCUUGGCACGGUUUUGAAGGAUCAGAGUUGCUUGUGUGUUGUAUGACUGAGUUUUUUCUUGCAAAUUGAAGUCCUUUGUUUGCUCUA